GCUAUUGAGUUACAUGAGUUCUUUAUAUAUUUUGGAUAUUAGCCCCUUAUCAGAGAUAUGACUUGCAAUAUUCUCUCCUGUUUGGUGGGAAAACAACUGUAAGGCCUUAUUGACAAAGAUCUCUGUGAAAGAAAUUCAGAUGGGGUCUGAGGUUACUGCAAAUUGAGGAUCACCAAAGUUCCUUGUGAAUGAAACCGUGGGUAGGACAGGAAUCAGGUACUUCCUGUUUGGGUCACCUGGGCUGACUCCACUCCUCGCCGAGAGUCUACGGUUAAGUGGCCAUCAGCCUAUCCUCUACCCGCUGCCCUUUCCCUCGAGGCCUGUUCCUCGUGGUGUGGGGUUUGCCCCUGCUCUGCAGUGGGUCCCCACCCAGGGGGGAGUCCCUUACUGCUCCCAUGUAAGGAGACCCUCCCUGGGCUGGGGUGGGGGGGCUGGUGCGCCACCUUCCGCGCCUGGAGGCUGUGCCUCCUGUGGUGGGAGCUCCCACACAGCUCCCCCCAGGUCAUCCCUGCUUCCUGCUCCGCCGCUGGACCAGAGCCUGUCCCGUCACAGGUGCCCAUGUUGGAGGGUGAUGAUGGCAGAUCAUCUGGAUCACAAGGUCCUGGGCUCCCCUCUACUGCCACCUUCUCCCGGCCCCGUCAGGCUUCCAGACCGAAGGGCUCGGGUAUCGGGGCCUGUUGCUGGGCUGAGGAGAGAGCCAGGGGGGCUGUCUGUUGUUGAACUCUUCUAGAUUGCUGGACAUGCUGUCACCUGAGACAGGGGCCUUGCUGCCUUGGUGGGGGAUGGUGGGAAAGCCAGUCCACCGUGGAGGCUUUCCCACCAAGUGCAGGGCCCUGGGCUACAGCCUGCCUGCAUGGGUGGUAACAUGCCUCUAGAGACAGCAUCGUUGUCAAGAGCUCGCUUGGUCCUCACAGCAACACCACCCAGCAGGUGCUUUAUUAUUACCCCAUUACACAGAUGGGGAAACUGAGGCGAGAGCCAUUGAAAAUUGUCCUACUCACGUGGCUAAGCAGCGAGAGAGCCAGGAUUCCAACGCCGGCAGUCUGGCACCAGGGUCUGUGGCCACAUGUAACCCCCUCGCCGUUCUCCCACACCUCAGACAGAACAAAAACAAGGGUGAAGGAAGCAUUAUAUUGACUUUUAAAAAUAUCACUAAAUGAAGAAUUAAAUGAUCAAAAUGGUUUCGUUGCUUCUUGAUUCCAUAAAAAAUUGUAACAUUUCUUUUAAGAUCACCAUUGAUUCAUUGGAUACAUUAACAGAAAUGUUUGCGAACACUGUAAAAAAACAUUUUUUCUUCGCUAAGUGCAAUUGCUUCUGAGGUACGAAUUAAGUUCGGCUCACGUGACUGGAUGUUGCUGGUCAUUGUCAAGGAGCUGGGUUUCUCAUCGAGGCUUUCCAUGCGGCGUGGUGUUUAUGGAAGGACAAUUGACAGACAAACUAGGUGAUUCAGACCUGGGUGUUUCGCAGACAUUUUCUUGAAAAUGAAUGAAGCGAGCCUGUUUCUUCAAGAAAAAUAACUGACAAUAUUUGUUGCCAAUUGUAAAAUUGAAACUUCCAAGUGAAAAUUAGAAUUUUAGAAAACUUGUAUCCACUCCUGUGAACUUGAUAGCUUCCUGAUUCCGACUUUUCUGAUGAGGUUAGCAGUUAUGUUAAUGCUAUGAUUUCUGGAGGUUGUUUAAUGAAAUAUGUCAACAUAUCAUUAGAUCUGCACAGCUCAGUGAAUCAAUAUUUUCCAGAUGACCAAUGCAUGAUGUUGCAAAUUCAUGAAGAGGUAAAAAACAAUGUUCAAAGUGCAUGAUAGUGGGUUUCAAUGUGACAGUGUUUGCAAAAUUAAUCGAUAUGGUUUCAGGUUCUACACUGCAACUAACCUUUAAGAGAGUACCAUUUGUUGAGUUUUGGUGUAAUAUCAAAGAAGAACGGUCACAGGGUUCUGAAAAGCCUAUUACCAAGCUGUUCUCUCUUUUCCAACUACAUUUUUGAGGCUGAAUUUUCUUCACAUACCUCAACUAAAACAACAGAACGCACAGAUUGAAAGCAGAAGCAGAUGUGAGGAUCCAGUGGUCUUCUGCUAAUUCAGACCUUUAGGGAGCCUGGGAAAAUAUAAACGGUUGCCAUUCUGCUCACUGUUAUUUUGGCUUUGGAAAAUACAGUUAUUUUUCUUAAAAUGAGAAAUGUAUGCCAAUAUGUAAUGAAUCUGUAUUGUGAUUUUUGAUACAAAUUGAAAAAUAUUAAAAAGAUUGUCUCAGUUUUAA